AUACUUACCUUGUACAGGGGACGCCGUGAUCAACCAGGCGGCUCCCUCAGGUCGAGGCCCCUCCAUUGCAGUCAGUUGGGGCUGAAGCCUGCGAUUUCCCCAAACGUGGGAAAGUCGGGUGCGCAAUUUCUGGUAGAGGGGUUUGCGUUCGCGCAGCCCCUG